rnacentral:rRNA from 1 species
GACGAACGCUGGCGGCGUGCUUAACACAUGCAAGUCGAACGGUGAAGUAGAGCUUGCUCUAUGGAUCAGUGGCGAACGGGUGAGUAACACGUGGGCAACCUGCCCCAGACUCUGGGAUAACUCCUCGAAAGAGGGGCUAAUACCGGAUAUUUGCAUUGCAAGACAUCUUGUGAUGCAGAAAGAAUUUCGGUCUGGGAUGGGCCCGCGGCCUAUCAGCUUGUUGGUGAGGUAACGGCUCACCAAGGCGACGACGGGUAGCCGGCCUGAGAGGGCGACCGGCCACACUGGGACUGAGACACGGCCCAGACUCCUACGGGAGGCAGCAGUGGGGAAUAGUGGGCAAUGGGCGCAAGCCUGACCCAGCAACGCCGCGUGAGGGAUGAAGGUCCUCGGAUUGUAAACCUCUUUCAGCAGGGACGAAGCGAAAGUGACGGUACCUGCAGAAGAAGCACCGGCUAACUACGUGCCAGCCGCCGCGGUAA